ACCGAAGAGUGAUACUCAGGAGACACACGGCGGGUGCUAACGUUCGUCGUGGAGAGGGAAACAACCCAGACCGCCAGCUAAGGUCCCAAAGUCUAUAUUAAGUGGGAAACGAAGUGGGAAGGCUUAGACAGCUAGGAUGUUGGCUUAGAAGCAGCCAUCAUUUAAAGAAAGCGUAAUAGCUCACUAGUCGAGUCGGCCUGCGCGGAAGAUGUAACGGGGCUCAAAUAUAGCACCGAAGCUGCGGCAUCAGAAUUUAUUCUGUUGGGUAGGGGAGCGUUGUGUAAGCGGAUGAAGGUGGCUCGAGAGGGUUGCUGGACGUAUCACAAGUGCGAAUGCUGACAUAAGUAACGAUAAAACGAGUGAAAAACUCGUUCGCCGGAAGACCAAGGGUUCCUGUCCAACGUUAAUCGGGGCAGGGUGAGUCGGCCCCUAAGGCGAGGCUGAAAAGCGUAGUCGAUGGGAAACGGGUUAAUAUUCCCG
rnacentral:rRNA from 1 species